rnacentral:rRNA from 1 species
GAUGAACGCUAGCGGCAGGCCUAAUACAUGCAAGUCGAACGGGUGGUCGCAAGACCACUAGUGGCGCACGGGUGCGUAACGCGUAACCAACCUGCCCCGAUCUGGGGGAUAGCCCGCCGAAAGGCGGAUUAAUACCGCAUAUACCCGCAGCCUGGCAUCAGGCAACGGGGAAAGAUUUAUUGGAUCGGGAUGGGGUUGCGUGACAUUAGCUAGUUGGCGGGGUAAGGGCCCACCAAGGCGACGAUGUCUAGGGGACCUGAGAGUGUGAUCCCCCACACUGGCACUGAGAUACGGGCCAGACUCCUACGGGAGGCAGCAGUAGGGAAUAUUGGGCAAUGGGCGAGAGCCUGACCCAGCCAUGCCGCGUGCCGGAUGAAGGCCUUCUGGGUUGUAAACGGCUUUUCUCAGGGAAGAAAAAGACCUUGCGAGGUACACUGACGGUACCUGAGGAAUAAGCACCGGCUAACUCCGUG